rnacentral:rRNA from 1 species
CGGGUGAGUAACGCGUGGUCAACCUUCCCUACAGUGGGGGAUAACUAGCCGAAAGGUUAGCUAAUACCGCAUGACAUCUUCGAGAGGCAUUCUUUUGAAGAUAAAAGGAGCAAUCCGCUGAAGGACGGGACCGCGUCCCAUUAGCUAGUUGGUGGGGUAAUGGCCUACCAAGGCAACGAUGGGUAGCUGGUUUGAGAGAGCGACCAGCCACACUGGGACUGAGACACGGCCCAG